UGCAGUCGAGCGGUAGCACAGAGGAGCUUGCUCCUUGGGUGACGAGCGGCGGACGGGUGAGUAAUGUCUGGGAAACUGCCUGAUGGAGGGGGAUAACUACUGGAAACGGUAGCUAAUACCGCAUAACCUCGCAAGAGCAAAGAGGGGGACCUUAGGGCCUCUCGCCAUCAGAUGUGCCCAGAUGGGAUUAGCUAGUAGGUGAGGUAAUGGCUCACCUAGGCGACGAUCCCUAGCUGGUCUGAGAGGAUGACCAGCCACACUGGAACUGAGACACGGUCCAGACUCCUACGGGAGGCAGCAGUGGGGAAUAUUGCACAAUGGGCGCAAGCCUGAUGCAGCCAUGCCGCGUGUGUGAAGAAGGCCUUCGGGUUGUAAAGCACUUUCAGCGAGGAGGAAGGCGGUAAGGUUAAUAACCUUAUCGAUUGACGUUACUCGCAGAAGAAGCACCGGCUAACUCCGUGCCAGCAGCCGCGGUAAUACGGAGGGUGCAAGCGUUAAUCGGAAUGACUGGGCGUAAAGCGCACGCAGGCGGUCUGUUAAGUUGGAUGUGAAAUCCCCGGGCUUAACCUGGGAACUGCAUUCAAAACUGACAGGCUAGAGUCUUGUAGAGGGGGGUAGAAUUCCAGGUGUAGCGGUGAAAUGC
rnacentral:rRNA from 1 species